rnacentral:rRNA from 1 species
UACGAAGGGUGCAAGCGUUGUCCGGAAUUAUUGGGCGUAAAGAGCUCGUAGGCGGUUCGUCGCGUCGGCUGUGAAAACCUGAGGCUCAACCUCAGGCCUGCAGUCGAUACGGGCGGACUAGAGUGCUGUAGGGGAGACUGGAAUUCCUGGUGUAGCGGUGAAAUGCGCAGAUAUCAGGAGGAACACCGGUGGCGAAGGCGGGUCUCUGGGCAGUAACUGACGCUGAGGAGCGAAAGCGUGGGGAGCGAACAGG